rnacentral:lncRNA from 1 species
GCUCUCGGAUUCUCCGCCUCCCCCAGUUUCAGUAGAAAAAGAGUGGGCUAACAGUACCUAACCUGGUUCCAGAAUCCUUCUGUGAUGAAUUACCUCACCGGUUACUGGGCUGGGACCCUCCUUUCUCUUCUGCUUGGCCACAUCUCGAAGCCGCAGGGGACCUCUUGGUCCUUCACUCCCUGGGGAGCCUUCGGAGGGAGUCACACGGCCCCUCCCCGCCGGAAAGGAAGCUGCCGGCCGACCCAGUGACUGACAGGCUGCCCUGGCUCAGUUAUCACAGUGCUGAUGCUGUCCAUUCUAAAGGUACAGUACUGUGAUAACUGAAGGAUGGCAGCCAUCUUGCCUUCCAGCCGAGGAGCCCCCAUCCUGCCCGGGAAGGAAGACGGAGGACCGGCUCGGCCUGCGUAACGGUGCCAGGGACCCGGGAAGCCUCUGGCCCUGUGCCGCACCGCCCCUCGCUCCCGCGCGCGCGCGCAGGGCGUUGCUCCUGCUUCCGUCUUCGCCUCGUUCGGGGAUGCGCGGUGCAACGAGGGGUUGGGUAGUGGUUUUCCCUCGUGUGCGGAGCAGAUGUGCUGUUGAGAGCUUUGGAACUUUGAAGAGACUGGUAUCAGAUAAGCGCUAAGUGUGGAUUCGUAUUUCUGGAAUGUUUGUCAUUCAGAGAAAUUUGUGCCGCUUUGAGAAACCUAAAAAGUCACCUGAUUACAACAGCCUGAUGCUUACCUAUCUUGCACAGAAAAAAAAAGCCCCGCACGUUGAACGGUAUUCAUGUAUUCGUGUUACUGCGCAAAUAAAAUUACGUCUUGGUGUUGAAGGAGUGGAUAGGGACAUGUUUUGUUUCUUUAGCAACCGAAGAUGUUUCAAAUCCAAUCUAACGCAAGAAAAUGUUUGUUGAAUGCUCACGUUAUUGCCACUGUCAUCUUUGCAUGAAAGUAAAAUGCAGAUGAUUUUACUUUUAUCCUUUAAGGAGUGCUCUGCAGUAACAUCUAGAACAAAUCAGUUUCAAGGAUAUGAAGCUAUAAAUACCAGCCCAGCAUUAGGUGCACAGAAAAGACCAGGAAAUUUGACAGCAUGCUCUACAUCCUAUGUCCUUGAGAGUGCUUUCGGGGUUGGGGUGGGGUUAUUGAAGAACCCAGGGUUCCCCACAGCCCUCCUCCCCCAGGACUCCCACAGAAGCCGUACACAUGGAACAGCAGCCUCAGACAAGAAUCAGUGCAUGGCCUUAUUUUGUGGUCACGCAUAGCCUGUGGCAGGGCUCAGGUAAUUUCAUGGAGUUCAGCCUCUUGCCCUAAACAGACCUCUUAACCUUGUCUCAGGCUCACGUCUGUAUGUGGGAACCUUCCCAAGCUGUGGAGAGCUGACCGGUGGAGGAAGCCAAAGCAGUGAGCAGAGAGAACAGAGCCUGCUGAGGCCAGGCCCCCCUGCCGCAGAGCUCAGAAGAGCCAGGGAAGAAAAAAUCUCAUGUGUGACCCUUUAAUGGACAGAGACCUUAUCCUCUCAUCAACACAGGCCAGUCCAUGUCAUAAGCCAGUUUUAUUCUCAAGUCCUCACUGGGGCAGAGCGCAGAAAGGGACCUGGGGGCAGGUUAGGGAGGUGGCGUCUGUCUCACACAGUCUGACAGUCCUGGUCUUUGUGCUCCUUUGCUGGUCACAGCUCCCUGACCUCUUUCUUCCCCCGUCUCCACCCAGACAGGGCCGGUCCUGAAGGAACGCCUCGAGCCACACCUGUUUGGCCCUGAAUUGCUUUCCACGUAGCGUUGACCACGUUAUGGCCCAGGACCUUCACGUGUCCACGUAUACACGGGAUUUCUCUAGACUGCAGGCCACACGAUGGUUUUAAUUACAAGGAGGGAUGGCUCUGCCCAGUUGUGUCUUACACUGCUCGUCCUCCGAUUCCUUGGAGUUUCCCACUUCCUUAAACAGAAAAGGAAUUUCUGACAGAAACCCUGGAAGAGCUUCUAAGAGGGAAAAUGGCUGGGGUGGGUAAAUUCUCAAGUAACUCGAAACACUCCCAAAUUUUUAGUGUUAGAGCAGGUGGAAAAAUGUGCUCCAGGGAGUGAUGUGUUGUGCAAUCGUUGGCCUUGGUGAGGAUUUCACCACCUUCUGUGAUCUUCCUGUUUUCCCAUGACCAGUUUUAUAAAAAUUCAGGUUUUUCACUUGCCAGACCUUGACCCCAGGGUCCACACCGGAGCCUGAGAGCUGUUGCAGAGCUGAGUAUUGGGUGUAGUUUGGAAUCACUCAGGGCAUUUCUACAGACCAAGCCAUCCUGGGUCCCGUUUCCUGUCAACAGGAAAGCCUGGGUCUCAGCCUGCAGCAGGAGCUCUGGGAGGCUUGCCUAGGCCUGGAGGUCCCUGGCAGUUUGGGGAGUUUGUGCAUGUAAGGUGUUCCAGCAGGUUGAGUGAGAAGUGAUGCAAGAGAAAUCUGACAAGGUUUUUCCGCUCCUUGGUUUAAAACACACGUAGGUAUGGGAGUUGCUGUCACGGCUCAGUGGUUUACAAACAUGACUAGUAUCCAUGAGGACACAGGUUCAAUCCCUGGCCUUGCUCAUUGGGUUAAGGAUCUGGCGUUGUUGUGAGCUGUGGUGUAGAUUGCAGGUGUGGCUUGGAUCCCGAGUUGCUGUGACUGUGGUGUAGGCCGGUGGCUACAGCUCCAAUUGGACACCUAGCCUGGAAACCAGCAUGUGCUGUGCGGAUGGGGCCCUAAAAAAAAAAAUGACAAAAGAAAAAAAAAAAGGUACGGUGUGUGAUUGGUGUAUUUUUUGGACUGGGAAGAUGAAUUAAACAUAGAAUUACCAUACGGUCCGGUAUUUCCACUUUGCCAGUUAUGUACCCAAACGAAUGGACUCGAAUAUUUGUGCACCUGUGUUUACAGCAGCAUCAUUCGCAAUAGACAAAAGGUAGGAGCAACCCAAGUGUCUGUUGAUGGAUGUGUGGAUAAAUAAAGUGCAUAUUCAUACAAGGAAAUGUUAAUUGGCAUUAGUAAGAACAUUCUGACACAUGCAACAAAGUGGAUAAACCUUGACCCUGGCUAAUUGAAAUGACCCAGACGUAAAAGGACAAAUACUGUAUGAGUUUUCUUAUGUGGCAUUCCUAGGGUAGUCAGAUUCAUAGAACCACAAAGAGAAACAGUGAUUGCCUGGGGCUGGAGGAAGGGGGAAACGGGGAAACUUAUGUUUAACAAGAACAGAUUUAUUGAGGAAGAAAAAAUUCUGGAGCUAGAUGGUGGUGGUGUUACAUUGUGGAUGUACUCAGUACCACAGACCAUACACUUAAAAGUGGCUAAGAUGGUAAAUUUCAUGUCUGUUUUACCACUUCUCUCAAAAAAAAAAAAAAAGCAUUUCGGGGUAAUAGCACUGUUGUGUUGCAGCUAACAACAGGACUGAGUUGAUUGCUCUCUUCUUUAGACAGUCCAGUGUGAAGAUAAUUGCUAUUUCAAAUAAGCAAUUAAAGUAUAAUUCCCCAUGUCUUUAUGCAUUUAAAGUUCUCUAAUCUGUAGACUGUUAGACAUAUUUCCAGGGUUUCUGACAUAGCUUAACAUCACUUUAAAAUUCUGUAAAAGAUAAAACCAUAAUAGCAGUGAGAGUACCAAAGGCAGAAUGAGACAACGGCCUCAACAAGAAGGCAGGUGAUGGGGCAUUUGAUGCUGGCCGUAUGCCUUUUCUGGUGAAAUUGGGCAAUGCACUGGACCAUUUCAUGCAUUCCAUGCUCCACCUGCCUCCUUUGCCUACCUCUUUGGAGUCCUGAUAAAGAUGUGUGUGUGUGUGUGUGUGUGUGUGUGUGUGUGUAAACUGUAUAUUAUACAGAAUUCCCUGGUGGCUCAGUGGGUUAAAGAUCUGGCUUUGUUACUGCUGUAGUUCUGGUUACAGCUGUGGUGCAUGUUCAGUCCCUAGCCUGGGAACUCAGGCAUGCCUUGAGCACGGCCAAAAACAAUGUUUACUGUAUGUUUGUAUCCUAUGAAUUAUAUAUAUAUGUGUGUGUAUGUAUGUAGACCAUUUGGUGACUAAAGCAACAUUCAAGUGGUGUAUUUCAUGUUCUCAAAAUGUAGACAUACAAUGUCUGAAAAGAAUAGCAUUAGUACUUUAAAAUAAAGUUUUAAAACGCAUCCUAAAUGGACUUGGAACUCAAGUACUCUCAGCCUCAUUAAAAACAUUCUAUAGCUUGCUGUCAAUCAUAAAAGUUUUUUUUUUCCUAUUAUACGUUGAAAUUUGAACAUGAGGAAAGUAAAAACAGAGACGAGAAUCAGCAACAGCUUUCUCUGCAGAAUCACAUGUUGUUAGCUGUGAGUUGAAAGCAUCUCUGGGCUGUGUCUCCUUCAUCAUGAAGCUCUCAUUAGAGGUCACGCUCUGGAAAGCAGAUUUUGGUCGUAGGCACCACGCUGCUGGAUCCCAAGCAGUUUUCUACCGACUGUGUCCAGUCCCCUGGCACUUGGCUUUUCUUGCGGUGUACUUGUCACAGUUGAACUACAUAGAUGUACAUGUUUGGAGGGUGUGUAUGUUUAAUGUCUUCUUAGAUGGUGAGUUCUUUGAGGGCAGGGACCAUGGCUGUAUCCAUUGCUAUGUGCUUGGCACAGAUCUUGGCAUGUGGUUUGCAGUAGAAAUUGAAUGUGUGAGACGCUGAAUGGAGUCUUUCCUCUCUUCUAACAAUGGGUUAGCCAAAUCCACAGCUAAAAAGGUGGUUGGUUGGUUUGUUUCUUCUUUUUUUUUGGCCACACCCCAGGCUAGGGGGCUGAUUGGAGCUGCAGCUGCCGGCCCACACCACAGCCACAGCAACACUGAAUCCAAGCCUCAUCCUCGGCCCACACCGCAGCUUGCAACAAUGCUGGAUUCUGAACCCACUGAGUGAGGCCAGGGAUGGAACCUACAUCCUCACAGACACUGUGUCAGGUUCUUAACCCACCAAGCCACAAUUUAGGGAACUCCUAAAAAGGUAUUUUAACUACCCACUUUUCAGAGUUCCCUGGUGGCCUAUUGGGUUAGGGUUCCAGUGUUAUCACUGCUAUGGCUCGGGUCACUGUUGUGGGGCUGAUUUGAUCUCUGGCCCAGGAACCUCUGCAUGCUACAGGUAAGGCAAAAAAAAAAAAAAAAAAAAUCUCUGCUUUUCUAUGAUCAGAGAACUAUAGCUCUGUGGCUAGUAUUUUUUUGCCAAACUUUUUCAAAAGCUGCCAUUUCAGCAGAACCAACUCUCAGAUUGCCCUGGUCCCUGACGCCCACCCAAGUGAAAGAGGGGUGGCGGUGGGAGAGAAGUUUUCUCAGGAGCAUUCCCCAGAGCUCACCUUCUGUCUGAAAAUUGGUGGGUCACUGGCUGUCCCAGAAAGAGCUCCCCAUGUCCGGCCUCUGCAAAACUAAGAGAAGGAGCCAGGAAGAGAGAGGAAAGAAGGUGAGAUGCCAGAUUCGGUGGACGAGGAUGUGUUUCUUGGACACUGUUGUCAAGGGGGAUGAAUCUGUGGAAGGUGGCUUGGGACUUAAAUUAACCUGGCCAGUACCCCCUCAGAAGGGCAGCCCCACAACCCACGAGUGGACCCCAGGAGUGAGCCGGCAUCUGGGUGGUAUCUCAAAGGACAAGCCUCUCUCUGGUCAGGCAGAAAACUCAUCUCCAUCCAGAGGGGUGGCUCACCCGGUAACCCGCUAUGGAGCUUCUGAAGAGCUGAGCCCCAUUUUGUGCAGAGCUUUUGGCACGAUCUCAUUUCAGCAGAACCAGCUCUCAGGUUCACUGUGAGUAGCUAUGAAGGGGACCAACCAAGAGAGUGGGCUCAGGGAGAAGGGGAGGGGCGGGGUGAGAGAGACCACCCCACUCCUCCAGCCCAGCCCUGGAGCCUGGGGCCUCGCCCGGCUGGAGAGUGCUGACAGUGAACGUGGGAUUUAUGUCCUCGUCAAAAUGAAACACUUAGCAACUCAGCUUGGUUAGGGGUCCUUUGUGGCCCUUACCACUCAAGAGGAAAGGGGCGUUAGAGCACAAGAGUAGAAGUUACUGAGCAUGCGGGGCGUUCCUGCUGUGGCUCAGCGGAUAAAGACUCCAACUGGCGGAGUUCCCAUCGUGGCGCAGUGGUUAACGAAUCCAACUAGGAACCAUGAGGUUGCGGGUUCUAUCCCUUCCCUUGCUCAGUGGGUUAACAAUCCGGUGUUGCCAUGAGCUGUGGUGUAGGUUGCAGACGCGGCUCGGAUCCCGCGUUGCUGUGGCUCUGGCGUAGGCCGGUGGCUACAGCUGUGAUUCAACCCCUAGCCUGGGAACCCAUAUGCCGCGGGAGCGGCCCAAGAAAUAGCAACAACAACAACAACAAC